rnacentral:lncRNA from 1 species
AUGGAUAUUUAAAGUGACUAAGUCUCCUUGGCACUACACUAACUUUUGGGAUCCGCACUUGACCAAUUUUUUACUUUAUUUCCACCCUUAUUUCUCCCCUUUUUAUUUUAAAGCAUAUUCAGGUUGGGUGUAGUCUUUUAGUCUUUCUUUUUCUCUUCUUUACAAAUUUUCUUUUCUUUUUUACCACACCCAGCCUUACUUUAUUUUAUUUUAUUUUUACCCUUCUUUAUACUUAUUUUACAUCACACACCCCUAUGAUAGCCACCCUCAACUUAGGCGAUUUGCCUGAGUUGAAGUGCAUAAUGUCCAGGGAGGACCAGAGCCAAAACAGGUUCAUUGUAAUAUAAAUGGAAAUGUGAUAAGUAUAACAAGAAAAAUAGGAUGUAAGACUUAAAGAUCG